rnacentral:rRNA from 1 species
UACGGAGGGGGCUAGCGUUGUUCGGAAUUACUUGGCGUAAAGCGCACGUAGGCGGCUUUGCAAGUUAGAGGUGAAAGCCCGGAGCUUAACUCCGGAAUUGCCUUUAAAACUGCAUCGCUAGAAUUGUGGAGAGGUGAGUGGAAUUCCGAGUGUAGAGGUGAAAUUCGUAGAUAUUCGGAAGAACACCAGUGGCGAAGGCGACUCACUGGACACAUAUUGACGCUGAGGUGCGAAAGCGUGGGGAGCAAACAGGG